AUUGAACGCUGGCGGCAGGCCUAACACAUGCAAGUCGAGCGGAUGAGAGGAGCUUGCUUCUCGAUUCAGCGGCGGACGGGUGAGUAAUGCCUAGGAAUCUGCCUGGUAGUGGGGGACAACGUUUCGAAAGGAACGCUAAUACCGCAUACGUCCUACGGGCGAAAGCAGGGGACCUUCAGGCCUUGCGCUAUCAGAUGAGCCUAGGUCGGAUUAGCUAGUUGGUGAGGUAAUGGCUCACCAAGGCGACGAUCCGUAACUGGUCUGAGAGGAUGAUCAGUCACACUGGAACUGAGAAACGGUCCAGACUCCUACGGGAGGCAGCAGUGGGGAAUAUUGGACAAUGGGCGAAAGCCUGAUCCAGCCAUGCCGCGUGUGUGAAGAAGGUCUUCGGAUUGUAAGGCACUUUAAGUUGGGAGGAAGGGUUGUAGAUUAAUACUCUGCAAUUUUGACGUUACCGACAGAAUAAGCACCGGCUAACUCUGUGCCAGCCGCCGCCGUAAAAC
rnacentral:rRNA from 1 species